GAUAUAAAGAUAAAAAUCAUUUUAUUCUUCACUUGGUCAACAAGAGCAAGAGGAUAUUUUCUGUCCACUUAGGAGAUUCCUGGAGUUCCUUGACCAGAAGCAAUGUUGGGUGAAAUACCAUGAUGAUGAAUAAGACUUUCUGCAAGUCCAUGGAUGGUAGCUUGGGCAGAGGCACUGAAUGCUGGGAUCAAUUGACUCUGUUUGCCUGGCCUGAGGAUGGCUCCUGGGUAUCAUUGCUCUGGCAGGUGGUUUUCAUUUGCUGUCUAGAGAUGCUGGCACUCCAGCAAACACAGCUCCCAUCUCACUCCCAGCCAGGUCCCCAAUGCUGCCUGCAUCUGAUACAAUGGCCUGUUACCUCCUGAAAUAUGUGGUU